rnacentral:rRNA from 1 species
CCUACGGGUGGGCAGCAGUGAGGAAUAUUGGUCAAUGGGCGGGAGCUUGAGCCAGCCAAGUCGCGUGAGGGAAGAAGGUCCUAUGGAUUGGAAACCUAUUUAGGCGGGGAGAAAUGCCGGGCACGCGUGCCCGGAGGGAGAGUACCCGCAGAAGAAGCAUCGGCUAACUCCGCGCCAGCAGCCGCGGGAAUACGGAGGAUGCGGGGGUUAUUGGGAUUUAUUGGGUUUAAAGGGAGCGUAGGAGGAUUGUUACGACAGUUGUAAAAGUUUGCGGCUCAACCGUAAAAUUGCCGUUGAAACUGGCAGUCUUGAGUACAGUAGAGGUGGGCGGAAUUCGUGGUGUAGCUGUGAAAUGCUUAGAUAUCACGAAGAACUCCGAUUGCGAAGGCAGUUCACUGGACUGCAACUGACACUGAGGCUCGAAAGUGUGGGUAUCAAACAGGAUUAGAUACCCGGGUAGUC